AAGCCUGGGAAUCCUAAACCCUACCUAUGUCUCUUCUGCACAGCUAUUGACAUCUUUAUUCACCAAUCAGAAUUAACUUGGGGACAGGGUCACAUGAGCUGUGUGCAGACUCCAGGUCUUGGGGGCCCACACUUAGCAUUACAAUAGACAGUAAAAGGCGAAACCUCAACACUGGACAUUUACAGAGCCAUUUACCCAGCCGGUGGGAUUAUUGUGUUCUCUAACAGCCACAGCAAAGGAUGUCAGUGUGUCAGUCGCUUUCCUGUUGUGAUAACACACAAUGACCAGAAAGUGGGAAGCUAAGAAAAAUCACUUCUGUCACUGCAAACAGAGCAGAGAGAGGACUGAGGCCAUGAUCACUCAAUGCCCACCCUCAGUGGCGUGCUUCCUCCUGCAUGGCUGCACCACCUAAAGGUUCCAUGACUUCCCAAACAGCACAUGGAACCACACAUUCAAGUACCUGAGCCUGUGAGGACAUUUCUCACUCGUCACCACCACUACUACACUAUUUCCUAAACUGGUCUGAUCAUAACAACCCCUUGGAUACUCAUUAACCAUCCACAUAUCCAGUCCCUACCUCACUGAAGAUCUAUAAAAGCAAAUCUAGUAGAGAGGUAGUUAAAUCUGGAUUCUAACAAAUCCCCAAGAGGGACGUGACCCGCAAGAGGGUCAGAGUUCAUCGUGUAAAACGAAGGCAUCCUGUCAAGACUGAAAUGAUGUCAUCAACUGUGUGCCUGUCCAGGUGAGAUCCACAGCUGUCAACACUCCCCAGUUCGAAGAUGGCUUCUUGGUAAACUGGGUUUUUUGAGGGAAUCUCCGUGGACAGGAAAGGGCAAAGGAUCAAGGUCAGCUGAUGCAGACAAAAGGAGGGGCCUAUGGAUUCCAUCAUUGUCAUCCAACAUCUUCCUAGGAAGCCACGGAAAAAGCAUCAAAUCUAGGUGGUAGGGGCAAACUCUGAAGUUUAGGUCUGAACGAGACCCUAACAGGAAAACAGCGAGGGCCUUACAUUCCAGGCCUGGUAACCUGUCUUCACUUAGGGCCGCAUACCCAGUCGUUGGGUCUAGAGUUCCACCCUGACACCGUGGCACCCAACUGCAGCCGGUAGACAAGCCCCUCUCGCGGAAAGGACCAUUCCUCUGGCUACCUAGGUUCGUCCUGCAGCAGCAAGGCUGGAUAGUCUGCGACCACUUCAGGACUGGAUUAUCAUUUUCAGAGCAACGCAACGGAGAGCUCAGCUCCUUGGACAACGUCCGGAGGUGGCGCCCGCCGCUCCAGCUUGCGGCCUGAAGAUCCCAGCGCCUCGACUUUCUGGUGCACACAGCUCUGGAGCCAGAAAGUAUACACACACCAUAAAUUUUCCCGCCCCACCCGGCUCGCCCCUCAGCCAGCUCUCAGCGCUGGCCAUUUCUUCCCGCACUAGUAACUGCAGCCCGCGGCCGGGCACUUCGGGUCCCCGCAAUGGUGGGCAGGGCUUGUACAGCUGUCUAGCCGCUGCAAGAACGCGGUAGCAGCGUUAGAACUCUGCGCGUUGCCUGCGGGAAGUUCCCAGACACUACCUACCUAGAGGGGGGAAGAUUUGGAGAACUCAGUAGAGGGGAAAGAAAGUGGAUCAGGUGAGAAUGGAAGGAGCCCGGAAGGCCGGCGGCUUUUUUAUACUUUGUAUGUCUUCCUACACUGUAAAGCCACCGUGUAGACACAAAGUAAACAGCCCGUUGCUUAAAG
ensembl:lincRNA 4930488B22Rik RIKEN cDNA 4930488B22 gene